AUCACCUAGGUUAUCACUUAUCACAGCUGUUAUGUUGUGUUGCUAAGAGAAUUUGUGAUUUGACAAUUCAUGUUUUUUUUAUUAUUUUAUUAAAUUUCUACUUGACAACAAAACAAAGUUGCAUGCAGUUGGAUUAAAUUUUGUGAAUUAAAUUUAUUCAUCAGAAUAUGAUAAAAUAAAUGAUACAUUCUGGACGAACAGGGCUGAAUUAUUGAAGCCACUAGUAAUUUUUUAUGCACUUCCAAUCAAAGAAUUAAUACCAAAUCAAAGAAUUAAUAUCAGUAUUAAAAAAUAUGGGUUUUGUUGGUAAACUUGGUGGUGAAUUACUGAGAUCAUUAGCAGAAAGGGAAGGUUAAUUUUUACAACAUUUGGUGUAAAAGAUCCACCAAAUCAACAGAAAAUGUUGGUGAAGAAAAAUCAAGAAAACGAAAAUUUAUCAAAACACUGUUUACAGCAAUUUUAGAAUCAGCUAUUGAGCCAGUAGAAGAUUCAAGAUAUUUUUAUGGUGCGAUGACACCUUAUCAACGUGAUCGUAUGAAGGUUAUACAUCUUUUACAUAUUAUGAGACAUUAUAUUGAUUCUAAUUUAAAAUCAGAAUUACAAUGUCUAUACGCCAUGAGUGAUGUCAUGCAUAAAUACAGAAAUCUUUCAAGUUUUGGAGGGUUUAUAAUUCAUCAACUUCACGAAGAGAAAAUCAUAUUAGACAAUGGUUUUUUGGCAUAGCAUAGCUGCACAAAUAAGACAGAGUCGAUUGGUCAUGUUAAAGCUGUCGAUUGCCUACUUAAUCCACCAUUUUGGAUUGAACUUCAAAAGAGUUUUGAUAACUCAGAGGACGAAGCUUAGAAUGAUUUUACCAGUGAAACCCCCCCCCCCCCACAAAUAAGUGAUAAAAAAAAAUAAUAACCAUUAAUCGAGUCAACGAUAUAAUACUAUUAUUAUUAUUAAAUUGUGAUCGAUGAUAUUUUUUUUAUGUAUGGGAUUAUAACUGUUUGCUGUACAUAGAACUUACAAGUAUACAUACAAGUAAAAUACAACUGAAGUAAAGCAGUCAAAUUACAGUCAUAAUCUUGUUAUGUUAAUGAAAAAAAAAAAACAAAUACUCAGACGGUCAUUUGUACCAUUUUCAUAUAUUUUAGUGUAUUUUAGUGAACGGUGUAAAUGAUUCUUUAAUAUUGUGGUUUAUAAUUUUACUUUUGAUACAUGUUUUGACAUCACCAAUAUAUGUAAACAGAUUGAUAGUUAGAGAUUAAUUAACCGCAACAAUAAAUAACUUUUCGUUUUUUUUGUUUUUUAAAUUUUAGAUUGCAUUAAAAGUCUAUCAAAUAAUAAAUGUAUAAAAACAUCUAUUUUAUAUUAACUAAAAAUACGACUUCAAUAAUUUCUUGGACCACCAAAAAGUCACUUGGUGCAUGGUACAUCAUUGCCAGUAUCAAGCCAAAAAGUAGAAGCAUCGAAUAAAUUGAAAGCUCAAACAAGUAAAAUAGUAUCAAGUUUUAAAAAUCCAGUUGUAGCAUGUAGUAUGCAACAUCAAUACAGUGGUCAUAUAGAUGGAAUAUGGAAAAUUUCAAUUGGUCGUUCAAUGUUUGGCAAGCAGCAGUUAAUUGGGAUAUAUCACUUGAUCGUACAUGAAUGACUGCAACAAAUGGUGAUCAAGAUGAACUACCAACAUUACGUACACCAGUACGUAAAUUAUUAGGACAUACUGGUGCUGUUAUGGCUGCUAAUAGGUUACCAGGUGCUGAACAAAUUGUAACAGCAUCAUGGGAUCGUACUGCAAAUCUUUAUGGUGCUAAAACUGGUGAAAUUAUUCAUACACUAUGUGUGAUCAAGAACUUACUUAUGUAUCAACUCAUCAUGCACAACGUCUUUGUGUUACAUCAAGUUGUGAUACAACUUUUCGUUUAUGAGAUUUUCGUGAACCAAUUUAUUCUGUAUCUGUUU